rnacentral:rRNA from 1 species
UACGUAGGGUGCGAGCGUUAAUCGGAAUUACUGGGCGUAAAGCGUGCGCAGGCGGCUUUAUAAGCCAGAUGUGAAAUCCCCGGGCUUAACCUGGGAACUGCAUUUGUGACUGUAAGACUAGAGUGCGGCAGAGGGGGGUAGAAUUCCACGUGUAGCAGUGAAAUGCGUAGAUAUGUGGAGGAAUACCGAUGGCGAAGGCAGCCCCCUGGGUCGACACUGACGCUCAUGCACGAAAGCGUGGGGAGCAAACAGG